rnacentral:tRNA from 1 species
GGAAGGUUGUCCGAGCUGGCCGAAGGAGAACGCCUGGAAAGUGUGUAGGCGUCACAAGCGUCUCAAGGGUUCGAAUCCCUUACCUUCCG